CUACGGGGUGCACCAGUGAGGAAUAUUGCACAAUGGGGGGAACCCUGAUGCAGCAACGCCGCGUGGAGGAUGACGCAUUUCGGUGUGUAAACUCCUUUUAUAUGUCAAGAAAAUGACGGUAGCAUAUGAAUAAGCACCGGCUAACUCCGUGCCAGCAGCCGCGGUAAUACGGAGGGUGCAAGCGUUACUCGGAAUCACUGGGCGUAAAGGACGCGUAGGCGGGUUGGAAAGUCAGGUGUGAAAUCCUACAGCUUAACUGUAGAACUGCGCUUGAAACAUCUAAUCUAGAGUAUGGGAGGGGGAGAUGGAAUUAGUGGUGUAGGGGUAAAAUCCGUAGAUAUCACUAGGAAUACCUAAAGCGAAGGCGAUCUCCUGGAACAUUACUGACGCUAAGGCGUGAAAGCGUGGGGAGCAAACAGGAUUAGAUACCCUAGUAGUC
rnacentral:rRNA from 1 species